AGCUCCAAUAGCGUAUAUUAAAGUUGCUGCAGUUAAAAAGCUCGUAGUUGCAUUUCCGAGGCAAGGGAUUAGUCCGACCUUUGGUGGGUAUUUAAUCCUCUUGCCUCGUCCUUGAGUGGUGCUUCUUGGUAUUAAGUUAUCGAGGAGAUAGCCGCUCAUCGUUUACUGUGAGAAAAUUAGAGUGUUCAAAGCAGGCUUAUGCCGUUGAAUAUAUUAGCAUGGAAUAAUAAGAUAGGACCUCGGUACUAUUUUGUUGGUUUGAGAACCAAGGUAAUGAUUAAUAGGGACAGUUGGGGGUAUUCGUAUUCAGUUGUCAGAGGUGAAAUUCUUAGAUUUUCGGAAGACGAACUACUGCGAAAGCAUUUACCAAGGAUGUUUUCA
rnacentral:rRNA from 1 species